rnacentral:rRNA from 1 species
UACGAAGGGGGCUAGCGUUGCUCGGAAUCACUGGGCGUAAAGCGCACGUAGGCGGCUUUCUAAGUCAGGGGUGAAAUCCUGGAGCUCAACUCCAGAACUGCCUUUGAUACUGGAGAGCUCGAGUCCGGAAGAGGUGAGUGGAACUCCGAGUGUAGAGGUGAAAUUCGUAGAUAUUCGGAAGAACACCAGUGGCGAAGGCGGCUCACUGGUCCGGUACUGACGCUGAGACGCGAAAGCGUGGGGAGCGAACAGG